UCCCUGGUGGUCCAACAGUUAAGACUCAGUGCUUUCACUGCAGGGGGCCUGGGUUCAAUCCCUGGUCAGGGAA
rnacentral:tRNA from 1 species